AGGGAAUCUUCGGCAAUGGGGGGAACCCUGACCGAGCAACGCCGCGUGAGUGAAGAAGGUUUUCGGAUCGUAAAGCUCUGUUGUAAGAGAAGAACGGGUGUGAGAGUGGAAAGUUCACACUGUGACGGUAUCUUACCAGAAAGGGACGGCUAACUACGUGCCAGCAGCCGCGGUAAUACGUAGGUCCCGAGCGUUGUCCGGAUUUAUUGGGCGUGAAGCGAGCGCAGGCGGUUAGAUAAGUCUGAAGUUAAAGGCUGUGGCUUAACCAUAGUAUGCUUUGGAAACUGUUUAACUUGAGUGCAGAAGGGGAGAGUGGAAUUCCAUGUGUAGCGGUGAAAUGCGUAGAUAUAUGGAGGAACACCGGUGGCGAAAGCGGCUCUCUGGUCUGUAACUGACGCUGAGGCUCGAAAGCGUGGGGAGCAAACAGGAUUAGAUACCCUGGUAGUCCACGCCGUAAACGAUGAGUGCUAGGUGUUAGGCCCUUUCCGGGGCUUAGUGCCGCAGCUAACGCAUUAAGCACUCCGCCUGGGGAGUACGACCGCAAGGUUG
rnacentral:rRNA from 1 species